CGUGCUUAACACAUGCAAGUCGAACGAUGAAGCCCAGCUUGCUGGGUGGAUUAGUGGCGAACGGGUGAGUAACACGUGAGUAACCUGCCCUUGACUCUGGGAUAAGCACUGGAAACGGUGUCUAAUACCGGAUAUUUCAGCUGGCCGCAUGGUCUGGUUGUGGAAAGAAUUUUGGUCAAGGAUGGACUCGCGGCCUAUCAGGUAGUUGGUGAGGUAAUGGCUCACCAAGCCUACGACGGGUAGCCGGCCUGAGAGGGUGACCGGCCACACUGGGACUGAGACACGGCCCAGACUCCUACGGGAGGCAGCAGUGGGGAAUAUUGCACAAUGGGCGAAAGCCUGAUGCAGCAACGCCGCGUGAGGGACGACGGCCUUCGGGUUGUAAACCUCUUUUAGUAGGGAAGAAGCGAAAGUGACGGUACCUGCAGAAAAAGCACCGGCUAACUACGUGCCAGCAGCCGCGGUAAUACGUAGGGUGCAAGCGUUGUCCGGAAUUAUUGGGCGUAAAGAGCUCGUAGGCGGUUUGUCGCGUCUGCUGUGAAAACUGGAGGCUCAACCUCCAGCCUGCAGUGGGUACGGGCAGACUAGAGUGCGGUAGGGGAGAUUGGAAUUCCUGGUGUAGCGGUGGAAUGCGCAGAUAUCAGGAGGAACACCGAUGGCGAAGGCAGAUCUCUGGGCCGUAACUGACGCUGAGGAGCGAAAGCAUGGGGAGCGAACAGGAUUAGAUACCCUGGUAGUCCAUGCCGUAAACGUUGGGAACUAGAUGUG
rnacentral:rRNA from 1 species